rnacentral:rRNA from 1 species
GCAGCCGCGGUAAUACGAAGGGGGCUAGCGUUGUUCGGAAUCACUGGGCGUAAAGCGCACGUAGGCGGAUGUGUCAGUCAGGGGUGAAAUCCCGGAGCUCAACUCCAGAAUUGCCUUUGAAACGGGAUUGCUAGAGUCCGAGAGAGGAUGGCGGAAUUCCUAGUGUAGAGGUGAAAUUCGUAGAUAUUAGGAAGAACACCGGUGGCGAAGGCGGCCAUCUGGCUCGGUACUGACGCUCAGGCGCGAAAGCGUGGGGAGCAAA